CGCUAUGCGCUCUGUUGCAGGACCUGAAACCCGUGGUUGUCGGCAACAAGCGCAGCCUAUGGGCAAACAAAGGGCUCCUCCCCUUCUAAGGAGACAGUCGGAGGCAAGAGCAAAUCUGUCACAAAUGCAGGUGUUGGACAUUAACAAUACAAAGGAAAAACCCUGAGGAAGAAGCCCCAACUGAUGAAAUGCAAGACUCUACUAUGUGUAUUCAUAACACAAAAUAUCUCCAUAACAACCACACACAAUAUAUCUCCAUAACAACCACACACAAAAUAUCUCCAUAACAACCACACACAAAAUAUCUCCAUU